UUUCUUUCCCGCGCGCGCCCUCUGUUGACCAAGCGGAGUUAUUUCUGAGGUGACUGCAGAUCUUCUAUUUCUGGAUAAAUAUCUACUUUAUUUGAAGUAAAUGCGCAAUGGCAAAAACUAAUGCUGAAAGACAAAGGGAAUUCAGAGAGAGAAAGAGGAAUAAUGAAAAUUUCAAGGAAAAGGAGAAGAAAAGAAAAAAAGCAGAAAGACUAAGAAAGAAAGAAACACAAUCAAAUCAAGAGGCAGAGAGAGUCAGGGAGCUUGCUAGAGAAAGACAGGAAAAGGCAUUUGCUGAAGAGGUCACAGGUUCCUGCUUUACUCCAGGAGUCACCACAGAAUUCACCAUUUAAAACAAGACAGUCUCUAGGCAAGGCACUAAAACGAGCACUCCGAGCUUUACCUAGCAGCCCUC